AGGUGAACCUGUCCAGUCUAAUCGCAAAGUGCCUGAAAGCACCAGCAGAGGGCAGCAUCCUACAGAUGAAAAUGCUGAUAUCCUGGACUUGCUGUCACGCUUUGAAAAAUCAGCAGAUGCGUUUUUGAAAAUGAGACAAAGUUUAAAACAUUUGCAGGCUUUGGAGGGCAGCAGAGAGCUUGGACAUCUCACAGGAUUUGGAAAUUCAUCAAACGACCUGAAAGCUGAGCUGCAGAAAACAAAAGUUCUGAUAUCUGAAGCAAGAAAAAAGAAGCAAAAGACUUGUUAAAGGUCACUGCUACUUCCUGCAUAAGCUCUGCACAUGUUGAGAAAGGUUUUCAUUGAGCUAAACCCGUAUGCGCAUUACAGGGGCUGCAAGGAACUGCUCGGGAAUGUGUGAUUUACCAGCAGUUUAGAUGGAGUUAUAUCCUGCUUCGAAGACAAGUGCAUAGCAUCCAUCACGGCCCUUCGCUGGCUUAACCUUGCCCAGAGAAGUGGCAGACAGCAGUAUUUAGUAUCAGAUCCCUUUGUCAGCAGUGGAGGGCAGCCACGGGCUUGUUGUACAAAACUUAUGGAAAAGAAAUUUGGAGACAACUGGGAACUUCUGUUGAUUCCAGCACUUUAACACAAAAUUCAAUAUUUAUUUCCGCUGGCUAGAUUUUCAAGAGGCAAAAUUUAUGUCUCUUGUUUUGUUGGGGAAUGAGUGAUUCUUGGGGCCAAUUUUAGCUGCACAUUGCAAAACAUUUCAUGUCCAAUAAUCCACUGCUGUGUGAGUCCAGCACCUUAAAAUUGCAUAAUAAAUUCACAUUACUAAACAAUUAAUUAUCCGUGAUUUCAGCCAGGCUAAGUAGGGAGACAUUCUGAGCAAUUAAAUAGGAACUUUCUGUCUAGAUUUUUGUUAGUUUAUGUAUCCCAGUGCCUGUUGUCUAUGUGUAUAUUUAUCAUACCAAGCACAAGUUAUUAUAAAUUCAGACUGGCUUUUAACUGCAA